rnacentral:rRNA from 1 species
GACGAACGCUGGCGGCGUGCUUAACACAUGCAAGUCGAACGGAAAGGCCCUGCUUGCAGGGUACUCGAGUGGCGAACGGGUGAGUAACACGUGGGUGAUCUGCCCUGCACUUCGGGAUAAGCCUGGGAAACUGGGUCUAAUACCGGAUAGGAGCCAUUUUUAGUGUGAUGGUUGGAAAGUUUUUUCGGUGUAGGAUGAGCUCGCGGCCUAUCAGCUUGUUGGUGGGGUAAUGGCCUACCAAGGCGGCGACGGGUAGCCGGCCUGAGAGGGUGGACGGCCACAUUGGGACUGAGAUACGGCCCAGACGCCUACGGGAGGCAGCAGUGGGGAAGAUUGCACAAUGGGCGCAAGCCUGAUGCAGCGACGCCGCGGGGGGGAGGACGGCCUUCGGGUUGUAAACUCCUUUCGCUAGGGACGAAGCUUUUUGUGACGGUACCUAGAUAAGAAGCACCGGCUAACUACGUG